GCAGUCCUACGGGGCGCAGCAGUGAGGAAUAUUGGUCAAUGGGCGGAAGCCUGAACCAGCCACGUCGCGUGAGGGAAUAAGGCCCUACGGGUCGUAAACCUCUUUUGCCGGGGAGCAAGGGCCGGGACGCGUCCCGGCCCGGAGAGUACCCGGAGAAAAAGCAUCGGCUAACUCCGUGCCAGCAGCCGCGGUAGUACGGAGGAUGCGAGCGUUAUCCGGAUUUAUUGGGUUUAAAGGGUGCGUAGGCGGGCUUUUCAGUC
rnacentral:rRNA from 1 species